UACGAAGGGGGCUAGCGUUGCUCGGAAUUACUGGGCGUAAAGGGCGCGUAGGCGGAUGUUUAAGUCGGGGGUGAAAGCCCAGGGCUCAACCCUGGAAUUGCCUUCGAUACUGGACAUCUUGAGUACGGGAGAGGUGAGUGGAACUCCGAGUGUAGAGGUGAAAUUCGUAGAUAUUCGGAAGAACACCAGUGGCGAAGGCGACUCACUGGCCCGUUACUGACGCUGAGGCGCGAAAGCGUGGGGAGCAAACAGG
rnacentral:rRNA from 1 species